rnacentral:rRNA from 1 species
AGGCAGCAGUAGGGAAUAUUGGGCAAUGGAUGCAAGUCUGAUCCAGCCAUCCCGCGUGCCGGAUGAAGGCCCUCAGGGUCGUAAACGGCUUUUGUACGGGAAGAACCCCGCCCACUCGUGGGCGUCUGACGGUAUCGUAAGAAUAAGCACCGGCUAACUCCGUGCCAGCAGCCGCGGUAAUACGGAGGGUGCGAGCGUUGUCCGGAUUCAUUGGGUUUAAAGGGUGCGCAGGGGCUCCGGUCAGUCAGUGGUGAAAUCCGGCCGCUCAACGUUGGAAUUGCCAUUGAUACUGCCGGGCUUGAGUCAAGUGGAGGCCGCCGGAACGGGCCAUGUAGCGGUGAAAUGCAUAGAUAUGCUCCAGAACGCCGAUUGCGAAGGCAGGUGGCUGCGCUUCCAUUGACGCUGAGGCACGAAAGCGUGGGGAGCGAACAGGAUUAGAUACCCUGGUAG